CGUAAUAAUAGAAACUAACCAGGAUUCCCUUAGUAACGGCGAGUGAACUGGGAUGCCAAUAUAAAAUAUGCACCUCGCGUGCAUAAAUUAGCCCGUCGAUACUAUCCUAGCGUAUGUACCGGUCUUCGGGCCUGGUACUCAAAUACGCGGGAAUUGUAGCAUCGUAAUAAACAAAAUAUACAGCACGCACACACACACAUAAGAACCCACGCCAAUGCGUACAACUUGUAAACACACAGCGUCUCCGCGUUGGAAAGCAAGUAUAUAUCCUCUUUGGAUAUGCCAUAGAGUGUGACAGCCACGUUUCACCCUUAAGUACGCACACACACACACAUAUGACCAAAUGGCGCGGCACGUGCAAGUGCACCGUAUAUAUUUGAUAUAACCUGAGUCGAGUUAUUU
rnacentral:rRNA from 1 species